rnacentral:rRNA from 1 species
CUUGCUCCCGGAUGUUAGCGGCGGACGGGUGAGUAACACGUGGGUAACCUGCCUGUAAGACUGGGAUAACUCCGGGAAACCGGAGCUAAUACCGGAUAGUUCCUUGAACCGCAUGGUUCAAGGAUGAAAGACGGUUUCGGCUGUCACUUACAGAUGGACCCGCGGCGCAUUAGCUAGUUGGUGGGGUAAUGGCUCACCAAGGCGACGAUGCGUAGCCGACCUGAGAGGGUGAUCGGCCACACUGGGACUGAGACACGGCCCAGACUCCUACGGGAGGCAGCAGUAGGGAAUCUUCCGCAAUGGACGAAAGUCUGACGGAGCAACGCCGCGUGAGUGAUGAAGGUUUUCGGAUCGUAAAGCUCUGUUGUUAGGGAAGAACAAGUGCGAGAGUAACUGCUCGCACCUUGACGGUACCUAACCAGAAAGCCACGGCUAACUACGUGCCAGCAGCCGCGGUAAUACGUAGGUGGCAAGCGUUGUCCGGAAUUAUUGGGCGUAAAGGGCUCGCAGGCGGUUUCUUAAGUCUGAUGUGAAAGCCCCCGGCUCAACCGGGGAGGGUCAUUGGAAACUGGGAAACUUGAGUGCAGAAGAGGAGAGUGGAAUUCCACGUGUAGCGGUGAAAUGCGUAGAGAUGUGGAGGAACACCAGUGGCGAAGGCGACUCUCUGGUCUGUAACUGACGCUGAGGAGCGAAAGCGUGGGGAGCGAACAGGAUUAGAUACCCUGGUAGUCCACGCCGUAAACGAUGAGUGCUAAGUGUUAGGGGGUUUCCGCCCCUUAGUGCUGCAGCUAAC